CCUACGGUGGGCUGCAGUGAGGAAUAUUGGUCAAUGGACGAGAGUCUGAACCAGCCAAGUAGCGUGAAGGAUGACUGCCCUAUGGGUUGUAAACUUCUUUUAUAAAGGAAUAAAACGAGGCACGUGUGCCUUUUUGCAUGUACUUUAUGAAUAAGGAUCGGCUAACUCCGUGCCAGCAGCCGCGGUAAUACGGAGGAUCCGAGCGUUAUCCGGAUUUAUUGGGUUUAAAGGGGGCGUAGAUGGGUUGUUAAGUCAGUUGUGAAAGUUUGCGGCUCAACCGUAAAAUUGCACUUGAUACUGGCAGUCUGGAGUACAGGUGAGGUAGGCGGAAUGCGUGGUGUAGCGGUGAAAUGCUUAGAUAUCACGAAGAACCCCGAUUGCGAAGGCAGCUUACUAAGCUGUGACUGACGUUGAUGCACGAAAGUGUGGGUAUCAAACAGGAUUAGAUACCCUAGUAGUC
rnacentral:rRNA from 1 species